rnacentral:rRNA from 1 species
UACAGAGGGGGCAAGCGUUGUUCGGAAUUACUGGGCGUAAAGGGCGCGUAGGCGCCUUCUAAGUCAGACGUGAAAUCCCUCGGCUCAACCGGGGAACUGCGUCUGAGACUGGAAGGCUUGAAUCCGGGAGAGGGAUGUGGAAUUCCAGGUGUAGCGGUGAAAUGCGUAGAUAUCUGGAGGAACACCGGUGGCGAAGGCGGCAUCCUGGACCGGCAUUGACGCUGAGGAGCGAAAGCCAGGGGAGCAAAGCGGG